rnacentral:rRNA from 1 species
ACGCUCGACACCUACGGGGGGCAGCAGUAGGGAAUCUUCCACAAUGGACGCAAGUCUGAUGGAGCAACGCCGCGUGAGUGAAGAAGGUUUUCGGAUCGUAAAGCUCUGUUGUUGGUGAAGAAGGAUAGAGGUAGUAACUGGCCUUUAUUUGACGGUAAUCAACCAGAAAGUCACGGCUAACUACGUGUCAGCAGCCGCGAUAAUCUGAGCGGGCUGGCAAGGC